UCUGGGUUGGGAUGAGUGGCGAACGGGUGAGUAACACGUGAGUAACCUGCCCCCUUCUUUGGGAUAACGGUCGGAAACGGCUGCUAAUACCGGGUAUUCACUGUCCUUCGCAUGGGGGGUGGGUGGAAAGGUUUUUUUCUGGUGGGGGAUGGGCUCGCGGCCUAUCAGCUUGUUGGUGGGGUGAUGGCUUACCAAGGCUUUGACGGGUAACCGGCCUGAGAGGGUGACCGAUCACAUUGGGACUGAGAUACGGCCCAG
rnacentral:rRNA from 1 species